AGGACGAACGCUGGCGGCGUGCUUAACACAUGCAAGUCGGACGGUAAGGCCCCUUUCGGGGGGUACACGAGUGGCGAACGGGUGAGUAACAUUUGAGGAACGUGCCCUUGCUUUCGGUAUAGCUCCAGGAAACUGGUGGUAAUCCCGAAUAUGAGCCUGGCCUGCAUGGGUCCCCAAUUGGAAAGCUUUAUGCGGUCAGGGAUCGUCUCGCGGCCUAUCAGCUUGUUGGUGGGGUGGUGGCCUACCAAGGCAGCGACGGGUAGCCGGCCUGAGAGGGUGACCGGCCACAUUGGGACUGAGAUACGGCCCAGACUCCUACGGGAGAAAGCAGUGGGGAAUAUUGCACAAUGGGCGCAAGCCUGAUGCAGCAACGCCGCGUGCGGGAUGACGGCCUUCGGGUUGUAAACCGCUUUCAUCCAUGACGAAGCGCGACGGUAGUGGGAGAAGAAGCACCGGCUAACUACGUGCCAGCAGCCGCGGUGAUACGUAGGGUGCGAGCGUUGUCCGGAAUUAUUGGGCGUAAAGAGCUUGUAGGCGGUUGAUCACGUCGGAAGUGAAAUUUUAGGGCUUAACUCUGGGCUUGCUUUCGAUACGGGUUGACUUGAGGAGCUUACCCUGAGAAUGGAACUCUCGGUGGAGCGGUGGAAUGCGCAGAUAUCGGGAAGAACACCAGUGGCGAAGGCGGUUCUCUGGACAGGGCCUGACGCUGAGGGGCGAAAGCGUGGGGAGCAAACAGGCUUAGAUACCCUGGUAGUCCACGCCGUAAACGGUGGGUACUAGGUGUGGGUCCCUUCCACGGGGUCCGUGCCGUAGCUAACGCAUUAAGUACCCCGCCUGGGGAGUACGGCCGCAAGGCUAAAACUCAAAGGAAUUGACGGGGCCUUGCACAAGCGGCGGAGCAUGCGGAUUAAUUCGAUGCAACGCGAAGAAGAGGGGU
rnacentral:rRNA from 1 species